AAAACUUCUCUCUCUUGAAUUCUUGUUCUCGCCGCUCGAAAUCUUUCUUUGGUCUAUCCUCGUCCUUUCAAAAGCUUUCUGUGAUUGCUUAUUUAUACAUACCUAGCUUCUUGGUUAUCUUUGAAUUAUAAAUUGUUGAGUUUCUGUAAAUUAAAUUACUUCAGUUAAGUUCCGGUUGACAAGUGGUAUAUAGGCUCACCUCCUCGCUUCCCACAUUGGGAAAAGACUUCACCUUCAACGGAUACUUAUCUUGAUGUACUUUUGUUGGGUAGUAUUAGCCUCACUAUUAUCGUAUUCUUAUAAAAUUCUUGAAAUACCUACCAAAGAGUCCCCUUUUCGACAUCCCAAUUUACUCUGAAGCAAGCCGAUUCAAAACCAUCACAGACUGGAGAACAGCCUGCCUAUAUCCAUCCCUGAAAAUGCUAACCCGAAGUUAGAGUGAUACAUCUUUUAUAGUAUUAACAUACAGGAAUAUGUGAAGCUCAAGAGAGAGGGUAAUUUAUGAACACAAGUGGUUUAAAGAAGAGAAAAUGUAUUCGAAUGCUUCAUUUAGUGGUCGUACUUGGAAGAAUUACAUUGAUGAAAAUGCUAGUUCCCAAUUAUGAUAAGUCUAGCAGCGAAUAAUUUUGCUGUUCUUUUGUAUGGCGCUGACAGGAAUAAUAGCACUGCAGACCUCAGUUAUAAUGGAGUAGAUUUUCGGGAAAUUAAGUAGUAUUAGCCACACUGCAAGCCUCUAAGAAGCCAUCACAUUCUGUAGCCUUUUUAUCCUCAAUGUUGAGGGUAGCUUGCUUGAUUUCCAUCCCUGAAAGUGAUCUUUACAGCCAGUCCAGGCUACUCAGCAGAGUACUAGGCAAGGCGACCAGGAAAUUGUUGACCAAAAAUCUUGGUCAAUGGCCUUGAAGGGGUUGCUGUGAAAGUCCAUUUGUUUCUAGUAAGAUCUCCAGAAUCGUGUGGUCUACCAUCAUCUGUUUCCAGUUUACAGACAAAGCUCCUAACUCCUGCCAAUCUUGAGAAGGAUUUGAAUACUGCUGUUUCCUUCUCUUUGAUGUUUUGGUCAUUGAUAUUUUCAUGUGUUGGAUUCUAUGAUUGUAUCAAUCAAGUUGCAGUGAAUUUUCA